AUUGAACGCUGGCGGCAGGCUUAACACAUGCAAGUCGAGCGAGCGGCGGACGGGUGAGUAAUGUCUGGGAAACUGCCUGAUGGAGGGGGAUAACUACUGGAAACGGUAGCUAAUACCGCAUACCAUCAGAUGUGCCCAGAUGGGAUUAGCUAGUAGGUGGGGUAAUGGCUCACCUAGGCGACGAUCCCUAGCUGGUCUGAGAGGAUGACCAGCCACACUGGAACGGAGACACGGUACAGACGCCUACGGGAGGCGGCAGUGGGUAAUAUUGCACAAUGGGCGCAAGCCUGAUGCAGCCAUGCAGCGUGUAUGAAGAAGUCCUUCGGGGUGUAAAGUACUUUCAGCGGGGAGGCGUUACCCGCAGAAGAAGCACCGGCUAACUCCGUGCCAGAAUCGGCGGGAAUAC
rnacentral:rRNA from 1 species